rnacentral:lncRNA from 1 species
GGAAUUCUCAAAUUUUUUCUGACAUCCAUCCCUUGUCAAAAAGUUUGACUUUAUGGAAAGACACUGACAUAAUCCAAGCAAGGAACUUAGAAAUCUUAUAAAGAUAUAAUCCACUUACCACUGCCUGCUGAUAUUUCUUCCAUCAAAACUGUUGUCGAUUAAUGUCAUUUUCAUCAAAUCUCCCUCCAUUAACAGCAAACAGCAAGCAAUAACCUGUAUAGUUAUAUGGUUGCUUCACUACAGGUCUCUACAUUAGGGACAAUCAGUAAAUUAGAGAAGCCUGCACUGUCAGAUGCAGAAGCAUCUUUUCACAUGGCAACACAACUGAAAGCAUCAGCAUCAUUAGACUGACAGCAUUUAGAAUAUAUAAAAAGGAUGAAAAUGAGGAAAAUCAGGUACCAAGUAACAGGUAAAAUAGUAGUUACAGCUACCUAAAGAAAAUUCAAACUCAGUUUCUGCUUAUGUACCAGGAGUAUCAAACAGGAAGGUGAAAAAAGGUAAGAAAAACACUGAACAAAAUGUCUAUGUGGUGCAACUUGAAGAUUUUGAAAGGAUUAGCCCCCCAAAGAGUGACCUUUUUAACCAUCAUUUUCAUUUAUGAGGAACAAAACCUAAAUUUUGUCCAGUUAUACCAAAGUUUCAACUAGCCAGUUCUUGCUAUCAGGGAAGGCAACGGAAUCAAAGAAAAUCCAUUAGCUUUACCCAAAGUAAAAACACCUUUACCUUUAGAAAAUUAUAUUAUACGACUAGCAUGCAUCUUUUUUUUAAAAGAAAGAACUUUCAUUCUAUACAAACAGCAGUAAACUCCCAAGACAAUGGCAAGGCUAUGCAUUGAACAAAUGUCCAAUCUUACUCUCAGGGAAACACUAAGAUAUUCUCAAGCACUAGCAUGCACCUAUAACAUGCUCAGAGUUCUAAUCUUAACAGAAAACACCAAGUCAACUCCUUUUCAAUCAAAGUCUAGGGUUCAGGUACAUGCUACACUUCAUCUAAAGCGGAAAUCAGCUCCAUUGCAAAGGAGUUCAAACAACUAGGUGGACAUGGCACUUAAAGGACAUAAUGGAGCUUCAACAACCAAAUUUUGUUAGCAUAUACAAAAUUUACUCCUAUGCCACAAGUUGUUGUAGCUAUCCCUAUCCCCUAUGGCGCAAGUGAAACCAGAGAAAUUUCCUUCAGAAGCUAGAGGUUUAUUUAGAAUAGUUCCAUAAGAAAACGGAGAUGACCUACCCAUGUAGAUCAUGUAUUAUACGUGGGUGAAUAAUUUACCAUUACCUCACCGAAACACCGGCAAGCCAAAGUUCCCAUACCCACUGUCAGAAUAGUGCAAAACCAAAUGCUGUAACCAAACACUAGAUAUAUCUUCUUACCAAUAAAAAAAAGGUUGUAAGCAAACACACAGCACUCCAUAAUUUUUUCAAUCAACAAGACCAUUCCAGAGUUCUAGAACAGUUUAACACAACCUAAAAAUCCCUGACAUCCCCAGAGUUCUCGAAUAGUUUAACACAAUCUAAAGUUCCUGAUGCCCCACAACUGCACAGGUUAGGUCCCUUAUCUAGUUGGAACAAGUGCACGGUUUAGGUCCUUAAUCUGGUUGGGUAGUUUAUAGACUGAAAAAGAAGCAGCUCCCUACUUUACCUGCAGAGUAGAUAUCAGAAAUUAGGAGAAAACAAUUAACUCCAAGCAAAAGUAUUAGUAAGAUGGUUUCAUACCUGUGUAGGGAAGCUCAUCACGAG